UUUAUAGUCACUCGUUCAAGUGCUGAUCUAUUUUUAAAUUGAAUAUUUAUUUUUAUUCAAAUAUAUUGAAAUUAAUAUGGAAACAAAAGUUCAUAAAUAUUAUUCUUAAUAACAAGAAUUGAGAUUUGGGGAUAAGUUUGAAAAGCCAUGUCAGAAGAGUAGGAUUAAAGACAAAGUAUUAAGAGUAAUUGGGCUGUUCCUGAACAAUAUUGAAUAUAAAUAUUCAAAAAUAUGAUAAACUGCAUAUCCUACUAAGUAGAUCAAUACCAAAAUUCCAUUAGAGAAAUAAGUUAAAAUUAUGUUUUACUUGUAUAAUUUUCUUGCUAUUUGUCCACCAUUAUUUGUGACUUAGAAAUUAAAUAGUCAAAAAGAA
rnacentral:lncRNA from 1 species